CUGAACUAUCAGCAAGCCUGUCUGGUGUUCCAGCCACCUGGAGCUGACAAAUAUUUUCCUACUAUGAAGGACGCCAUAGCAACCAGGCUUGUGGCAUGGAUACAAACCAGGCACAAUGCUGCUACAAUUUAAGACAUUCUUUGAUCACCAGCCACUUAUAAGAAGAGUGCCCAGAAGGAUGGUUUUGUUUGGAGUGUGGUGGUAUUGGCAGCUGAGAUUGGAAGGUCUGACUUCUGAUGCCGUUUGCACUAUCCUAAGUUGCUCUCAUGUUUAUCACUUCAAAUAAAAUGGCUUAAAAUGAAA